GAAGAGGUUGGCAUGUCCUGAGGGAAUACCUUCACCAUGGCAACCACCACCCUCACACAUGAGCAUUACCACCAUUUGGUCACUAUAUGCAGCCCCCUGUGAAGAUAUUUUUUAUAUAAUGCAGGGUCCUCUCCAUUGGAGUGACCUCUGUUUCUUUGUCCUGCCAUCUGACCACCACCACCCCCAUAAUGAGUGGGGACAAAACCUCAACCAGAGGUUUCAAGCACAACUUAAUAUAGAGACUCCAACAGUGAAGUUGUCUCUCUUUACCUCUCAGUUAUCUGCCUUGUUGGUUCUGUCUUCAGGAUCUUCAAGGAACCAGCAACUGGAAUUGUGCCUGACACUCCACACAUACUUUUUGGAGAAAUCAGUGAACAAACCCUGGCUAUAUGAAAUUUUUUAAAAGAGGAUUUACUGGAAGGAGAAACCCACAGAAUCAAAGGAGCAGUUGAAGACUUAAAAGAACAAGCUUAGAAGGGCAGGAAUAGGAGAAGUAAAAAAAGAUCCAGGUAGCAAGAAAA